rnacentral:rRNA from 1 species
AACGAACGCUGGCGGCAGGCUUAACACAUGCAAGUCGAACGCACCGCAAGGUGAGUGGCAGACGGGUGAGUAACACGUGGGAACGUACCCCUUUGUUCGGAAUAACCCUGGGAAACUAGGGCUAAUACCGGGUACGGCCGGAAGGCGAAAGGUUUACCGCAGAGGGAUCGGCCCGCGUCCGAUUAGCUUGUUGGUGAGGUAAUGGCUCACCAAGGCAUCGAUCGGUAGCUGGUCUGAGAGGAUGGCCAGCCACAUUGGGACUGAGACACGGCCCAAACUCCUACGGGAGGCAGCAGUGGGGAAUAUUGGACAAUGGGCGCAAGCCUGAUCCAGCCAUGCCGCGUGAGUGAUGACGGCCUUAGGGUUGUAAAGCUUCUUUUACCUGGGAAGAUAAUGACGGUACCAGGAGAAUAAG